GUGGGGAAUAUUGGGCAAUGGGCGCAAGCCUGACCCAGCAACGCCGCGUGAGGGAAGAAGGCUUUCGGGUUGUAAACCUCUGUCCUUGGUGACGAAACAAAUGACGGUAGCCAAGGAGGAAGCCCCGGCUAACUACGUGCCAGCAGCCGCGGUAAUACGUAGGGGGCGAGCGUUGUCCGGAAUUACUGGGCGUAAAGGGUGCGUAGGUGGCCUUUUAAGUUGGAUGUGAAAUACCCGGGCUUAACUUGGGGGGUGCAUCCAAAACUGGGAGGCUAGAGUGCAGGAGAGGAAAGCGGAAUUCCUAGUGUAGCGGUGAAAUGCGUAGAUAUUAGGAGGAACACCAGUGGCGAAGGCGGCUUUCUGGACUGUAACUGACACUGAGGCACGAAAGCGUGGGGAGCAAACAGGAUUAGAAACCCUUGUAGUCC
rnacentral:rRNA from 1 species